rnacentral:rRNA from 1 species
AACGAACGCUGGCGGCAUGCCUAACACAUGCAAGUCGAACGAGACCUUCGGGUCUAGUGGCGCACGGGUGCGUAACGCGUGGGAAUCUGCCCUUGGGUUCGGAAUAACAGUGAGAAAUUACUGCUAAUACCGGAUGAUGUCUUCGGACCAAAGAUUUAUCGUCCAGGGAUGAGCCCGCGUAGGAUUAGCUAGUUGGUGGGGUAAUGGCCUACCAAGGCGACGAUCCUUAGCUGGUCUGAGAGGAUGAUCAGCCACACUGGGACUGAGACACGGCCCAGACUCCUACGGGAGGCAGCAGUGGGGAAUAUUGGACAAUGGGCGCAAGCCUGAUCCAGCAAUGCCGCGUGAGUGAUGAAGGCCUUAGGGUUGUAAAGCUCUUUUACCCGGGAUGAUAAUGACAGUACCGGGAGAAUAAGCUCCGGCUAACUCCGUG